GGCGCCUGGUUUCCUCUUCUCCCCCCCACCGUCUCUUGCCCCCCCACCUAGUGAGAGCGAGAGCAUGACGAUGACGGAGAUGGCGGUGCAGCGGUGCCGUCGGUCGGCCACUCGCCGAUGCGCGCGCUCCCCGUCGGGUGAGCGCGCCACCGUCGAGCAGUCAUCCGGCGGCAUCGGCCAGCGUCCGCCCCUUUCUAUUCCUCCUCCUCGACCCGACGAGGCGACGUCCCCGCGGCGGCCGACAUCGGCCACCUCGGAGUGCGCACACCGGCGGGGGGGGCGGGGGGACAACCGCGCGGCGUCAACGACGACCGGCGGCAGCGAUGGAGGUUAGGGUUUCACCCCUCCCAUCCAUCUCUUUUCUAUUCAUUUUGGUUUUCUUUAGGGGAUCGAGUCCCCUAUCGAUUUCUCUCUUGAUUUCAAUCCCAAAACUAAUCUAAACCCUAGGCAAGGCUCUGAUACCAUUGUAAAAUUUCUAUUUGGAUCACCUAGGUCUAGGACUAGUUGGGUAUUCUCUGUUGUAUGAAUCAAUGAGAUUGCAAUUGAGAGAAGAGGAGAUUAGAAACCGAACAGUAGAACCACUCGCGGAUGAGGAGGAACCGGCCAUCGUCGUCGAUCUCGACUUGAGGCUGACGGCGGCGGCGGUGGUCGGUGAAGUCCCGGUGAGAUCGUGGUCGCAGUCGUAGUGGUCCGGCGAGGCAGUGGCGCACUGGUGGCUUUCCCGGUAAUCUUCGUCUCUUGUGCCGUGCCAGCCUCCACCCCUUUUAUAUGACGUGCCCACCAACCUAUUGGGCUGGACGUUCCCAAUCAGGGCGUGAUCAAGGCCCUUUUAGCCGUUGGGCUAAAAAGCUGCAGAUUAAUUCUAACAGUACCGUCCCUUUUUAUUAGAUAAUGUGCAAUGUACCGUCCUGUAGAUAUAUAUAUAUAUAUAUAUAUGUACGUACAUAAGCUACCAAAGCAUUCACGAGUGCAAGAAUUUUCACCUAUUUCCUGACAUCAUUGGAUGAUGUCGCCAUUUACAUCUAAAUUUGCAACCAAAUUUCUGAUUAGUUAGCUUAAUCUGUACAGUGAAUGGUGAUCAUCAAGACACCUACAGCU
rnacentral:lncRNA from 1 species